GACGAACGCUGGCGGCGUGCUUAACACAUGCAAGUCGAGCGGUAAGGCCCCUUCGGGGGUACACGAGCGGCGAACGGGUGAGUAACACGUGAGCAAUCUGCCCUUCACCUUGGGAUAACUUCCGGAAACGGAAGCUAAUACCGAAUACGACCACUUCCGGCAUCGGAUGGUGGUGGAAAGUUCCGGCGGUGAAGGAUGAGCUCGCGGCCUAUCAGCUUGUUGGUGGGGUAACGGCCCACCAAGGCUUCGACGGGUAGCCGGCCUGAGAGGGUGACCGGCCACACUGGGACUGAGACACGGCCCAGACUCCUACGGGAGGCAGCAGUGGGGAAUAUUGGACAAUGGGCGAAAGCCUGAUCCAGCAACGCCGCGUGAGGGAUGACGGCCUUCGGGUUGUAAACCUCUUUCAGCGGGGACGAAGCGCAAGUGACGGUACCCGCAGAAGAAGCACCGGCCAACUACGUGCCAGCCGCCGCAGUAAGAC
rnacentral:rRNA from 1 species